GGUAAGGUAACGGCUUACCAAGCCGACGAUCAGUAGUCGGCCUGAGAGGGUGGACGGCCACAUUGGGACUGAGACACGGCCCAAACUCCUACGGGAGGCAGCAGUGGGGAAUAUUGCACAAUGGGGGAAACCCUGAGGUGCAGCGACGCCGCGUGAGCGAAGAAGUAUUUCGGUAUGUAAAGCUCUAUCAGCAGGGAAGAAACUGACGGUACCUGACUAAGAAGCACCGGCUAAAUAC
rnacentral:rRNA from 1 species